CGCGGGGUGGAGCAGUCUGGUAGCUCGUCGGGCUCAUAACCCGGAGGUCGCAGGUUCAAAUCCUGCCCCCGCAACCA
rnacentral:tRNA from 5 species